rnacentral:lncRNA from 7 species
AUGUCCUCCACGUGUUCCAUAUGUCCUCCACAUGUACCCUGUGUGUCCUCCAUGUGUUCUGUAUGCCCUCCACAUGUUCCAUGCUUCCUCCGUGUGUCCUCCACAUGUUCCACGUGUGUCCUCCACGUGACCCUCGUGUCCUCCAUGUGUUCCACGUGUCCUCCGUAUGUUCUGCAUGUCCUCCACGUGUCCCGUAUGUCCUCCACAUGUUCCAUGCGUGUCCUCCACAUGUCCCACAUGUCCUCCACAUGUUCCACGUGUGUCCUCCACGUGUUCCGUAUGCCCUCCACGUGUCCCUCAUGUCCUCCACGUGUUCCACGCGUGUCCUCCACGUGUCCCGCGUGCCCUCCACGCGUGUCCCACGUGUGUUACCGUGUGUUCCAUAUGUCCUCCACGUGUCCCACAUGUUCUCCACGUGUUCCAUAUGUCCUCCACGUGUUCCGUGUUUCCUUUACGUGUUCCGUGUGUCCUCCACGUGUUCCACGCGUGUCCCCCACAUGUCGCGCGUGCCCUCCACGCGUGUCCCACGUGUGUUCCCGCGUGUUCCCGGCGCAGCGUACCGCAUCCACGUCAACGCGCGGACGGUGGCCAUCCUGCGGGCGCUGCAGGAGGGCUUCAAGUUGGACAUCCGCGGCAAAACCGAACUCAAGGGGAAGGGCGUGGAGGACACCUAUUGGCUGGUGGGACGCGAGGGGUUCACCAAACCCAUCCCAACCCCCCCCGAUCUGCUGCCGGGGUGAGUGGGGUUUGGGGGGGGGGUGGUUGGGGGUCACAUGGGGCCUAUAUGGGGCGAUGGGGGGGCAUAUGGGUCCUAUAUGGGGCGAUGGGGGGGCAUGUGGGGCCUAUAUGGGGCGAUGGGGGGGCAGAUGGGUCCUAUAUGGGGCGAUGGGGGGCACGGGGGUCCUAUAUGGGGUGAUGGGGGGGCAUAUGGGUCCUAUAUGGGGCGAUGGGGGGGCAUAUGGGUCCUAUAUGGGGCGAUGGGGGGGCAUGUGGGGCCUAUAUGGGGCGAUGGGGGGGCAGAUGGGUCCUAUAUGGGGCGAUGGGGGGCACGGGGGUCCUAUAUGGGGUGAUGGGGGGGCAUAUGGGUCCUAUAUGGGGCGAUGGGGGGGCACAUGGGUCCUAUAUGGGGCAAUGGGGGGCACAUGGAACCUAUAUGGGGAGAUGGGGGGGCACGUGGGUCCUAUAUGGGGCGAUGGGGGGGCACAUAUGGGUCCUAUAUGGGGUGAUGGGGGGGCACAUGGUCCUAUAUGGGGCGAUGGGGGGCACAUGGGGCCUAUAUGGGGCGAUGGGGGGGCACAUGGGGCCUAUAUGGGGCGAUGGGGGGGCAUAUGGGUCCUAUAUGGGGGGAUGGGGGGGCACAUAUGGGUCCUAUAUGGGGCGAUGGGGGGGCACGUGGGUCCUAUAGGAGUAUAUGGGAUGUAUGAUGGGGGGGGCGGAGUGCUAUGGGGUGAGGGGGACACUGAUGGGGCGGGGAGGGGGGUCCUAUAGGAGUAUAUGGGAUGUGUGAUGGGGGGCUGUGAUCUAUGGGGUGAGGGGGACACUUAUGGGGCUGGGGGGGGUCCUAUAGGAGUAUAUGGGGUGUGUGAUGUGGGGCUGUGAUCUAUGGGGUGAGGGGGACACUUAUGGGGCUGGGGGGGGGUCCUAUAGGAGUAUAUGGGAUGGAUGAUGGGGGGGGGGCUGUGAUCUAUGGGGUGAGGGGGACACUUAUGGGGCGGGAGGGGGUCCUAUAGGAGUAUAUGGGGUGUAUGAUGGGGGGGGGCUGUGAUCUAUGGGGUGAGGGGGACACUUAUGGGGCUGGGGGGGGUCCUAUAGGAGUAUAUGGGAUGUAUGAUGGGGGGGGGCUGUGAUCUAUGGGGUGAGGGGGACACUUAUGGGGCGGGAGGGGGGGGUGCUAUAGGAGUAUAUGGGAUGUAUGAUGGGGGGGCGGAGCGCUAUGGGGUGAGGGGGACACUUAUGGGGUGGGGAUGUGGGUCCUAUAGGAGUAUAUGGGAUGUAUGAUGGGGGGGCGGAGCGCUAUGGGGUGAGGGGGACACUUAUGGGGCUGGGGGGGGGUCCUAUAGGAGUAUAUGGGUUGUAUAUGGGGGGGCGUUAAGGGGUAUUGAGGGGGGGGUUCGGGUGGCACCUCUUUGACCCCCCCCCCCCCCCCCACGACCCCCAACCGCCCCCCAACUGCCCCCCCCCCCCCCCCCCCCCCCAAUGCAGGGCCAGCAAUCACGGCAUCAGCCUGGAUGAGAUCCCGGCAGAGAGACGCCGGAAGUUGGAGAAGGCGCGACCGGGGCAGGUCCUUAAAUAGCCUCGGGGGAGGGGCCAGGUGAGGCCACGCCCCUUCCGUUUUACGUCACACCCCCAACCCCCCCCCGCCCUCACCGGUGUUAACCCAUCAACCGCCACCCCCAAUUGCCGCCUCUAUAGAGCUCUCAAUGGAGUCCUCCCAGACCAUAGAGGUGAGAGCAGAGCGGCCCACCGCCUUCCCAUACGUCCUCUGGUUGCUCAUCUCUAUGGUCAUGGUUUGGAGCCUCCCAGACCAUAGAGGUGAGAGCAGAGCGGCCCACCGCCUCCCCAUACACCGUCUCCUUGCUCAUCUCUAUGGUCACCACGUUGGGAGCCUCCCAGACCAUAGAGGUGAGAGCAGAGCGGCCCACCGCCUUCCCAUACGUCCUCUGGUUGCUCAUCUCUAUGGUCUACUCUAUGCUCACCACGUGAGAGCAGAGCGGCCCACCACCUCCCCAUACGUCCUCUGGUUGCUCCUCUCUAUGGUCUACUCUAUGGUCACCACGUUGGGAGCCUCCCAGACCAUAGAGAUGAGAGCAGAGCGGCCCACCACCUCCCCAUAUGUCGUCUCCUUGCUCAUCUCUAUGCUCUACUCUAUGGUCACCACGCUGGGAGCCUCCCAGACCAUAGAGGUGAGAGCAGAGCGGCCCACCGCCUCCCCAUACGUCGUCUCCUUGCUCAUCUCUAUGCUCUACUCUAUGGUCACCACGUUUGGAGCCUCCCAGACCAUAGAGAUGAGGCCAGGCCACCCUACACCCCCGGCCACCACUAUGGUCACCACAUUUGGAGCCUCCCAGACCAUAGAGAUGAGAGCAGAGCGGCCCACCACCUCCCCAUACGUCCUCUGGUUGCUCCUCUCUAUGGUCUACUCCAUGUUCACCACGUUGGGAGCCUCCCAGACCAUAGAGAUGAGGCCAGGCCACCCUUCAGCUAUGGCCACCACUAUGGUCACCNNNNNNNNNNNNNNNNNNNNNNNNNNNNNNNNNNNNNNNNNNNNNNNNNNNNNNNNNNNNNNNNNNNNNNNNNNNNNNNNNNNNNNNNNNNNNNNNNNNNAAAAAGAGCCAUUUUUGACCCAUUUUGGACCCAAAAAGGGACAUUUUUGACCCAAAAAGAGUCAUUUUUCACCCAAUUUCUGCCCCAAAAAGUGCCGAAUUUGACCCAAAAAGAGCCAUUUUUCACCCAAUUUGUACCCAAAAAGUCCCAUUUUUGACCCCAAAAGUCCCAUUUUUGACCCAAUUUUGACCCAAAAAGAGCCAUUUUUGACCCAAUUUGGACCCAAAAAGUCCCAUUUCUGCCCCAAUUUGGACCCAAAAAGUGCCAUUUUUGACCCAAAAAGAGCCAUUUUUGACCCAAUUUGGACCCAAAAAGGGACAUUUCUGCCCCAAAAAGUGCCAUUUUUGACCCCAAAAGUCCCAUUUUUAACCCAUUUUGGACCCAAAAAUGGACAUUUUUGACCCAAAAGUGCCAUUUU